rnacentral:snoRNA from 1 species
AUCCCAUGAUAAGGACACUUACGAAGUAACUCCUUAAAUUGCUCCUAAGCCUCAUACAAAGACUCAUCAUCCAAUUGUUGGAAAGUUGUGAUCGCGUUCCUUAACUU